AUUUUUCUUCCUAAAGAAAAACAAAAUCCAUCUUCCCUGUUUCCUUGGCAACACCAAAACCCUGCUGCUUAUGAACCCAAACGACGUCGUAGUGCUGAACAUGGAAGAAAGAGGAAACAAAGUAGUAGUGCAAAACGAACAACCCCGAGUUUGUAACGAUGAAGACGAAAUCGUUUGCUUAGAUGCAUCGUUCUUCAUGAAUGACAAUUACCAGUUGACGGAAUUCACAUUUGGCUCUCAACAUAUCCACCUCUUCUGUCUUCAUUCCGCCUCCACUGACUUUGAUUUGACAGGGCAGCUGGUAUGGCCUGGAGCCAUGUUGCUGAAUGAUUAUCUAUCCAAAAAUCUCGACAUGUUUCAGGGUUGCACUGUCAUUGAAUUAGGUUCUGGUGUUGGUAUUACUGGAAUACUUUGCCGCAAAUUCUGCGAUAAAGUUGUGUUGACCGACCACAACGAAGAGGUGCUUAAGAUCAUAAAUAAAAAUAUAGAGCUGCAUUCAUCUCCUCAAGAUAUUAGUCCUACUUCUCAUGGAUUAGUAGCAGAGAAACUAGAAUGGGGGAACACUGAUCAGGUCCAUGAAAUUUUACAAAAACAUCCUGGAGGUUUCGACUUCGUUCUUGGAGCUGAUAUAAGCUUUCAGCAGGCAAAUAUCCCUUUGCUGUUUGAUACUGUUAGACAGCUCCUGCAAGUUAAAGAAGGCGGAAAAUGCAAGUUCAUACUAGCCUAUGUAUCACGAGCAAAGAUUUGUGGAUUGCAGCUUCCCAUGUCACCUGCUUUAUCCCUAGCAAGUCUCAGUUUUUGCUGACAGGAUGCCUCAUAAAGAUAGAGUAAAUAAUCUUUUUAAUCCGCGAAGUUGUAGGGAUGGAUUCAAUGAUUAUUUCUGAAGCUUCUAAGUUUCGGAUGCAAAUGAAGGAAGUACCUGGAACAAAGUGUAUUGUUGGAAAUCUUGAAGGUGUCAUCUAUGAGAUCACUCUCGAGUAGAUGGAUCAAACUGAUAUAGUUUAAGGUUUGAAGCAGACAUGGCAUUAUGAAAACCUGAACUGAUUUGACUUGAGCACUGGCUAGUAUUUUUGUUCAACCCCUCCCCUGUCAAUCUUUGUUAACAACUUAGUGAAGAUAAUUCAGAAAAUCCAAUGGUUUGGUGUGGAAAAGAAGAUAUAAAAUAUACAAGAGAACCUAUUUUUGUAGUGUCUAUCUUGCUUAGUAUUUUUCAUUGUGAACAAAAACAUAAACAAGAACUGAAGAUUUUCAAGACAAUUUGAUUGGCUUUAUAUGCCAACUGUUCUUUCGACUGAUUGACUAUGAUGAUGAAUGGUAACUGCGUAUUUUAUUAUUUUA